GCAUUGGUGGUUCAGUGGUAGAAUUGUCACCUUCCACGCGGGAGACCCGAGUUCAAUUCCUGGUCAGGGCA
rfam:Loxodonta africana unplaced genomic scaffold scaffold_37, whole genome shotgun sequence.